CCCUUAGAUGUCCUGGGCCGCACGCGCGCUUCACUGAGUGUCUGAGAUACGAGUCUGCCUGGUCCGGCAAGGUCUAGGUAAUCGCUAAAAGACACAUCAUGCUUGGGAUAGAUUAUUGCAAAUAUUAAUCUUGAACGAGGAAUUCCUAGUAAGCGCAAGUCAACAGCUUGCGUUGAUUACGUCCCUGCCCUUUGUACACACCGCCCGUCGCUACUACUGAUUGGAUGUUUAAGCGAGGUUCUCGAACUGCUAGCGACUUAGCUUCGGUGAGGUCGCAGUGUGGGAAGUGAACCUAGCUUUGGUGUCUAGAGGAAGUAAAAGUCGUAACA
rnacentral:rRNA from 1 species